GACGAACGCUGGCGGCGUGCCUAAUACAUGCAAGUCGAACGAACUCUGGUAUUGAUUGGUGCUUGCAUCAUGAUUUACAUUUGAGUGAGUGGCGAACUGGUGAGUAACACGUGGGAAACCUGCCCAGAAGCGGGGGAUAACACCUGGAAACAGAUGCUAAUACCGCAUAACAACUUGGACCGCAUGGUCCGAGCUUGAAAGAUGGCUUCGGCUAUCACUUUUGGAUGGUCCCGCGGCGUAUUAGCUAGAUGGUGGGGUAACGGCUCACCAUGGCAAUGAUACGUAGCCGACCUGAGAGGGUAAUCGGCCACAUUGGGACUGAGACACGGCCCAAACUCCUACGGGAGGCAGCAGUAGGGAAUCUUCCACAAUGGACAAAAGUCUGAUGGAGCAACGCCGCGUGAGUGAAGAAGGGUUUCGGCUCGUAAAACUCUGUUGUUAAAGAAGAACAUAUCUGAGAGUAACUGUUCAGGUAUUGACGGUAUUUAACCAGAAAGCCACGGCUAACUACGUGCCAGCAGCCGCGGUAAUACGUAGGUGGCAAGCGUUGUCCGGAUUUAUUGGGCGUAAAGCGAGCGCAGGCGGUUUUUUAAGUCUGAUGUGAAAGCCUUCGGCUCAACCGAAGAAGUGCAUCGGAAACUGGGAAACUUGAGUGCAGAAGAGGACAGUGGAACUCCAUGUGUAGCGGUGAAAUGCGUAGAUAUAUGGAAGAACACCAGUGGCGAAGGCGGCUGUCUGGUCUGUAACUGACGCUGAGGCUCGAAAGUAUGGGUAGCAAACAGGAUUAGAUACCCUGGUAGUCCAUACCGUAAACGAUGAAUGCUAAGUGUUGGAGGGUUUCCGCCCUUCAGUGCUGCAGCUAACGCAUUAAGCAUUCCGCCUGGGGAGUACGGCCGCAAGGCUGAAACUCAAAGGGAUUGACGGGGGCCCGCACAAGCGGUGGAGCAUGUGGUUUAAUUCGAAGCUACGCGAAGAACCUUACCAGGUCUUGACAUACUAUGCAAAUCUAAGAGAUUAGACGUUCCCUUCGGGGACAUGGAUACAGGUGGUGCAUGGUUGUCGUCAGCUCGUGUCGUGAGAUGUUGGGUUAAGUCCCGCAACGAGCGCAACCCUUAUUAUCAGUUGCCAGCAUUAAGUUGGGCACUCUGGUGAGACUGCCGGUGACAAACCGGAGGAAGGUGGGGAUGACGUCAAAUCAUCAUGCCCCUUAUGACCUGGGCUACACACGUGCUACAAUGGAUGGUACAACGAGUUGCGAACUCGCGAGAGUAAGCUAAUCUCUUAAAGCCAUUCUCAGUUCGGAUUGUAGGCUGCAACUCGCCUACAUGAAGUCGGAAUCGCUAGUAAUCGCGGAUCAGCAUGCCGCGGUGAAUACGUUCCCGGGCCUUGUACACACCGCCCGUCACACCAUGAGAGUUUGUAACACCCAAAGUCGGUGGGGUAACCUUUUAGGAACCAGCCGCCAAGGUGGGACAGAUGAUUAGGGUG
rnacentral:rRNA from 2 species